rnacentral:rRNA from 1 species
GUGGGGAAUCUUGCGCAAUGGGCGAAAGCCUGACGCAGCCAUGCCGCGUGAAUGAUGAAGGUCUUAGGAUUGUAAAAUUCUUUCACCGGGGACGAUAAUGACGGUACCCGGAGAAGAAGCUCCGGCUAACUUCGUGCCAGCAGCCGCGGUAAUACGAAGGGGGCUAGCGUUGCUCGGAAUUGCUGGGCGUAAAGGGCGCGUAGGCGGACAGCUUAGUCAGAGGUGAAAGCCCAGGGCUCAACCUUGGAAUUGCCUUUGAUACUGGCUGUCUUGAGUUUGGGAGAGGUGAGUGGAACUCCGAGUGUAGAGGUGAAAUUCGUAGAUAUUCGGAAGAACACCAGUGGCGAAGGCGACUCACUGGCCCAAUACUGACGCUGAGGCGCGAAAGCGUGGGGAGCAAACAGGAUUAGAAACCCUGGUAGUCC